GCACCUGAAAAUUCAGGUGCUAAGAUUAAUCUCUUGAAGAUAUAUCCUACUGGUGAUAUAUGACGCGCUUUGCGUUCUUUAU
rnacentral:sRNA from 1 species